CCUCCCAAAGUGCUGGGAUUACAGGCGUGAGCCACCACGCCCGGCCAAACAAGUGGAAUUUUUCCUGGACCAGCUCUUUGCUGGUCAUGUGGGAGGAGUUGGGGCUGUGUUCCAAGUCAGCUGGAAUUUUUCUUAUAACCCAGGAUUUUACGUGUGAGCUUGAUCAGCCUUUACUUCUCAGCUUAAGCAGGUCUGGGCAUGUUUGGCAACCUGGCCUGCAUGAUGAAGAUUUCCAUAAUUUGGUGUUCAUCUAUUUAUUCAGUUUUUGCCCGAAUGAUGAAGGAGGAAGUUUACAUCUUGCUCCCUGGGGACAGGCAGAGAUAGUGUGUGCACUUCCAUCCUACAAGGACCAGAUCUGAACAGUCUGGAGAGAGGAGCUGUGGUGGCAGCAGACAGAUCUCUGCUUCAGGGGCCAGGUGUCCAGAAGAAAUGCUGAGGCAGUGUCACGCUGGUGUCUGUCCUCCUUACAGAAUGCCUGAACAGUUCCAUUGACUCAAAGUGAAGAUCAAAAGAACCAAAGGACAGCAAUAGCCAAGUGUAAUCAUCAGUAACCCUGUGUUCUAUCCACAGUUAAAAGAAUAUUGGCAGAGAAACAGCCUUGGUGUUCCAGCAGGAGUGAAGAGGAACAGGAAAACACGUGGCAGUAGCCCUGAAACAGCCACUUCUGGUGGUUGCCACUCACCUGAGGAUGUGAGUCCUGGCAGGCCAGGCUCCUGGGGACAGGGGGCCCAAGGCGCAGUAGAGAGUAAUUUUUAAGAUUAUGGAUGGACUGUUGGGUACUGGUUAAGAAUUCUGGGUUUGGCCAGGCACAGUGGCUCAUGCCUGUAAUCCCAGCACUUUGGGAGACUGAGGCAGGUGGAUCACGAGCUCAGGAAAUUGAGACCAUCCUGGCUAACACGGUGAACCCCUGUCUCUCCUAAAAAUACAAAAAAAUUAGCCAGGCUUGGUGACGGGUGCCUGUAGUCCCAGCUACUCAGGAGGCUGAGGCAGGAGAAUGGCGUGAACCUGGGAGGCGGAGCUUGCAGUGAGUUGACAUUGUGCCACCACACUCCAGCCUGGGAGGCAAAGCGAGACUCCGUCUCAGAAAAAAAAAAAAAAAGAAUUCUGGGUUUGAAUCCUGCCUCUCCGUCUGCUAGGGAUAUGAUUUAGGGCAAGUUGCUUGAGCUCUUU
rnacentral:lncRNA from 1 species